CCUACGGGAGGCAGCAGUGGGGAAUCUUGCGCAAUGGGCGAAAGCCUGACGCAGCCAUGCCGCGUGAAUGAUGAAGGUCUUAGGAUUGUAAAAUUCUUUCACCGGGGACGAUAAUGACGGUACCCGGAGAAGAAGCCCCGGCUAACUUCGUGCCAGCAGCCGCGGUAAUACGAAGGGGGGCUAGCGUUGCUCGGAAUUACUGGGCGUAAAGGGAGCGUAGGCGGAUAGUUUAGUCAGAGGUGAAAGCCCAGGGCUCAACCUUGGAAUUGCCUUUGAUACUGGCUAUCUUGAGUAUGGGAGAGGUUAGCGGAACUCCGAGUGUAGAGGUGAAAUUCGUAGAUAUUCGGAAGAACACCAGUGGCGAAGGCGGCUAACUGGCCCAUUACUGACGCUGAGGCUCGAAAGCGUGGGGAGCAAACAGGAUUAGAUACCCUGGUAGUCCACGCCGUAAACGAUGAGUGCUAGUUGUCGGCAUGCAUGCAUGUCGGUGACGCAGCUAACGACAUUAAGACACCUCCGCCGUCGGGGAGGUACGGUCGCGAAGAAUUAAACUAACAAUAGAAGUUAGACGGCGUGAGACGUGCCGAACGGACGACGACGAGGGGAGGUAGG
rnacentral:rRNA from 1 species